rnacentral:rRNA from 1 species
ACACGCAUGACACACUGCAUAUCAAUAAGCGGAGGAAAAGAAACUAACAAGGAUUCCCUAGUAACGGCGAGUGAAGCGGGAAGAGCUCAAAUUUGAAAUCUUAAAGGGUUUCCCUUUACGAAUUGUAGUUUAAAGAAGUGUUUUCUGUUGGAGUUUCGGUAAAAGUUCUUUGGAAUAGGACAUCAUAGAGGGUGAGAAUCCCGUAUUUGACCGUUACUUUCCAGCUGUGUGAUACACUUUCAAAGAGUCGGAUUGUUUGGGAAUGCAGUCCAAAAUGGGUGGUAAAUUUCAUCUAAAGCUAAAUAUUGGCGAGAGACCGAUAGCGAACAAGUACCGUGAGGGAAAGAUGAAAAGAACUUUGAAAAGAGAGUUAAACAGUACGUGAAAUUGUCAAAAGGGAAGCGUUUGACACCAGUGUUGUUUAGUUGAAAAUCAAUUCAAUAAUUUUUGAUUUUAAGUAGUAUUGACUUCAUCAGCUUGCUGCUUUCUUUUCGGAAAUUAUUGAAUGCACUUUUCAGUUAACAAGUCAACAUCAAUUUCUUUUGUUGUAAAAGGGUAAGAGGAAGGUGGCUUACGCUUCGGCGUAAGUGUUUAUAGCCUUUUACCUCUGCAAUCGGAGAGAUUGAGGACAGCAGCGUAGACUCCUUCGGGGGUUAGAUACACUUGUGCUAAGCUAUAGCCUUGUAUAGACAACUUGUUGACUAUGCUCAGUCAUGUAGCUUACUCGCUUGUGCUAUUUUACCUACGCUUAGGAUGUUGACUGAUAUGUAGUCGUA